rnacentral:tRNA from 1 species
GCCUGGGUGGCUCAGUCAGUUGAGCGUCAGACUUCAGCUCAGGUCAUGAUCUCCUGGUUCGUGGGUUCAAGUCCCACGUCAGGCC